GUUACAUGACGGUAGACAACUCAACACAAAGAAAAUGAUAAAGAAAGGGAUAAUUUACUUUAAGAAAAAUCAUUCUAGAUUGUGGAAGAGGCAAAAGUUGGUACAUCAUCUCUGUGCUUCUGCUGGAUUUCACAGGUGCUUUCUCUGAACCUGUAAGGGUCACAGUUAAAGGUUUCGUUGGAGAGUCGGCUGUCUUUCCUUGUUCCAUCCCUGAUAGUGAAAUUCAAGGCAAAAUAGAAAAAUUCAAUGUACAUUGGAGAGACAAUGAAGACAAGCUUGUGUGUGACAUUAUUGCAAGCAACAGAAUAUGCACGGAUCAAGGUCCAAAGUACAAGUUCAGAGUCAAAACGUUCCCAGAGGAGUAUAAGAAGGGCAACUUCUCCAUCAAACUCAGCAGUCUUCAAAAAACUGAUGCAAGGAAGUACAUCUGUCACAUCACAGGACCAUCUCAUAAUCACACCAUCACAGAGCUUCAUGUCGAAGAUGGACAACAUGGAAGAGGGAACCACAGAAAACCAUCAUCGACUAUGUUGUUUAUCAGUUUUUUCUUAAUUGCCAUUCUGAUGCUUUCCUGAACAAUAUUCAUUCAGUUAUUGUUGUGUUGUAAGUGUUGUAGGGUACAGCUCAGAUCUGAUCAAUCAGCCAGAUGUACUUGCAUACACUUUUCAAGUAUUUUUACACUGAGUAUUGUCAUUUAGAGUAAAUUUUACUCUACAUUUCAGAAAAUAACAUGUUGAUCCUCUGUUUUUCAAACAUUAUAUUAUAAAUCCUAUUCCAUUCUAUUCAUUUCAGUUGUUGCACAGAUUGGCACACACCUUGUAUUCAUCAGUGUUUGUACUAAGGAUGUAACAUUUUCAGUCAUUGUCAUUUCUGUCAGUCAUGUUGUGCAAUAAAAUAAAUAUAACA